UGAUGCAGCAACGCCGCGUGAGGGAUGACGGCCUUCGGGUUGUAAACCUCUUUUAGUAGGGAAGAAGCGAAAGUGACGGUACCUGCAGAAAAAGCACCGGCUAACUACGUGCCAGCAGCCGCGGUAAUACGUAGGGUGCAAGCGUUGUCCGGAAUUAUUGGGCGUAAAGAGCUCGUAGGCGGUUUGUCGCGUCUGCUGUGAAAUCCCGAGGCUCAACCUCGGGCUUGCAGUGGGUACGGGCAGACUAGAGUGCGGUAGGGGAGAUUGGAAUUCCUGGUGUAGCGGUGGAAUGCGCAGAUAUCAGGAGGAACACCGAUGGCGAAGGCAGAUCUCUGGGCCGUAACUGACGCUGAGGAGCGAAAGCAUGGGGAGCGAACAGGAUUAGAUACCCUGGUAGUCCAUGCCGUAAACGUUGGGCGCUAGAUGUAGGGACCUUUCCACGGUUUCUGUGUCGUAGCUAACGCAUUAAGCGCCCCGCCUGGGGAGUACGGCCGCAAGGCUAAAACUCAAAGGAAUUGACGGGGGCCCGCACAAGCGGCGGAGCAUGCGGAUUAAUUCGAUGCAACGCGAAGAACCUUACCAAGGCUUGACAUACACCGGAAACGGCCAGAGAUGGUCGCCCCCUUGUGGUCGGUGUACAGGUGGUGCAUGGUUGUCGUCAGCUCGUGUCGUGAGAUGUUGGGUUAAGUCCCGCAACGAGCGCAACCCUCGUUCUAUGUUGCCAGCGGGUUAUGCCG
rnacentral:rRNA from 1 species